AACUACUAGAUUUUCUCUUAGAAAUACAUGUAAUUAUGUAGCAUUCAUUUCAUGCAUUGCGUCUAAAAAUAUCAAAGAAGCAUUAAAUGAUGAAUAUUGGAUAUUAGUCAUGCAAGAUGAAUUAAAUCAAUUGAGAGAAGUAAAGUAUGGACCCUAGUUGAAAGACCUAGUGAAAAAAAUCUAGUAUAGGUACUAAAUGAGUUUUUAAGAACAAUCUAGAUAAAAGUGGUAACAUAGUGAGGAACAAGCGUUAGACUUGUAAAAUAAAUCUGAAAUAAAAUUUAAUAAACCAGGAUCUAUCAUGUCAAAUCAUCAAGAACAAAACUAAAUGCGGAAGCGUACCUGAAUCUAUGAAUUUCUUGAAGUUUUACCGGAUUUUGGGGAUUUGAUCUUCCAAAUUAGCACAUAAGAAAUUUAGAGAAUAUCUG
rnacentral:lncRNA from 1 species